rnacentral:rRNA from 1 species
GCAGUCGAGCGGUAAGGCCUUCGGGUACACGAGCGGCGAACGGGUGAGUAACACGUGGGUGAUCUGCCUCGCACUCUGGGAUAAGCCUGGGAAACUGGGUCUAAUACCGGAUAUGACCAGCCUCUGCAUGGGGGUUGGUGGAAAGGUUUACUGGUGCGAGAUGGGCCCGCGGCCUAUCAGCUUGUUGGUGAGGUAACGGCUCACCAAGGCGACGACGGGUAGCCGACCUGAGAGGGUGACCGGCCACACUGGGACUGAGACACGGCCCAGACUCCUACGGGAGGCAGCAGUGGGGAAUAUUGCACAAUGGGCGAAAGCCUGAUGCAGCGACGCCGCGUGAGGGAUGACGGCCUUCGGGUUGUAAACCUCUUUUGACAGGGACGAAGCGCAAGUGACGGUACCUGUAGAAGAAGCACCGGCCAACUACGUGCCAGCAGCCGCGGUAAUACGUAGGGUGCGAGCGUUGUCCGGAAUUACUGGGCGUAAAGAGCUUGUAGGCGGUCCGUCGCGUCGAUUGUGAAAACUUGCAGCUCAACUGCAAGCUUGCAGUCGAUACGGGCGGACUAGAGUACUUCAGGGGAGACUGGAAUUCCUGGUGUAGCGGUGAAAUGCGCAGAUAUCAGGAGGAACACCGGUGGCGAAGGCGGGUCUCUGGGAAGUAACUGACGCUGAGAAGCGAAAGCGUGGGUAGCGAACAGGAUUAGAUACCCUGGUAGUCCACGCCGUAAACGGUGGGUACUAGGUGUGGGUUUCCUUCCACGGGAUCCGUGCCGUAGCUAACGCAUUAAGUACCCCGCCUGGGGAGUACGGCCGCAAGGCUAAAACUCAAAGGAAUUGACGGGGGCCCGCACAAGCGGCGGAGCAUGUGGAUUAAUUCGAUGCAACGCGAAGAACCUUACCUGGGUUUGACAUACACCGGAAAGCCGUAGAGAUACGGCCCCCCUUGUGGUCGGUGUACAGGUGGUGCAUGGCUGUCGUCAGCUCGUGUCGUGAGAUGUUGGGUUAAGUCCCGCAACGAGCGCAACCCUUAUCUUAUGUUGCCAGCGCGUAAUGGCGGGGACUCGUGAGAGACUGCCGGGGUCAACUCGGAGGAAGGUGGGGACGACGUCAAGUCAUCAUGCCCCUUAUGUCCAGGGCUUCACACAUGCUACAAUGGCCGGUACAGAGGGCUGCGAUACCGCGAGGUGGAGCGAAUCCCUUAAAGCCGGUCUCAGUUCGGAUCGGGGUCUGCAACUCGACCCCGUGAAGUUGGAGUCGCUAGUAAUCGCAGAUCAGCAACGCUGCGGUGAAUACGUUCCCGGGCCUUGUACACACCGCCCGUCACGUCAUGAAAGUCGGUAACACCCGAAGCCGGUGGCCUAACCCUUGUGGAGGGAGCCGUCG